rnacentral:rRNA from 1 species
GCCCUUAUGACUGGGCUACACACGUGCUACAAUGGACAGAACAAAGGGCUGCAAGACCGCAAGGUUUAGCCAAUCCCAUAAAUCUGUUCUCAGUUCGGAUCGCAGUCUGCAACUCGACUGCGUGAAGCUGGAAUCGCUAGUAAUCGCGGAUCAGCAUGCCGCGGUGAAUACGUUCCCGGGCCUUGUACACACCGCCCGUCACACCACGAGAGUUUGCAACACCCGAAGUCGGUGAGGUAACCUUUAUGGAGCCAGCCGCCGAAGGUGGGGCAGAUGAUUGGGGUGAAGUCGUAACAAGGUAGCCGUAUCGGAAGGUGCGGUUGGAUCACCUCC